AUAGUGAUUAUUAACUUAUCGAGUACUAAUUUAUAGAGGUUUUUUUGUACAAACUGAUAAGAAGUUAAACUUUAAUUUACAAUUAUGCUAAUUUCUUUUCUUCACCUAAUCUAUUUGAAUGUUAUAUAAUUACUAAAUCAUAUUCACAAUCAUUCUGUAAAGUAAAUUUCAUUUAAACUCACUCAACAUAAGUACUCCACAAGUGCCAAUUGUUAUACGCCGUGUAGUGGAAGUGUUCUAUAGGUUUAGUCGUGAUACACUUGGUUACAAAAGCAAACCUCUUUCAUAGUAAUAGGGUCCACCUAGUUCUUGUGCAAUUCGACAUAGUCUGACAACGACCCUUUGGUUGGACCAAGAUCCGUAUACGCAAUUCUCAUCUACCAAAACACGAACAAGGAUUUUUGGUUUUUCUCUCUGAACAUCUUGUAACUUCUGGAUAAAAUCUUGAGAGGUAAGUUUUUCUCCACCUAGGUCUUCUGCAAUUGGACAAAGUCUAACUUUGACCACUCUCUAGUGUCGGUAGGACAAAGAUUCGUAGAAGCACUCACCCGCUUCCCGAAAAGGAACCAAGACUUGUGGUUUCUCUCUCUGAAACUCAUGGAACCGACGGGCAAAAGCUUGUGAAGUAAGUAUCUCCGUCAAUUUUCUUUCAGAUGAAAGUAAUGGUCGUACGAUUUUCACAGUAUCUCUAGCUAAUAUCUCCCCAACUAGAUCCCUAGUCAUCAUGUACAUAAAUGAAAUAGAGAUUACUAAAAACCCUUGAAUUGAUUGAAUUGAUAUAGAAGAAAGUUACCUUGAGUAAGAAGUAAUCAU
rnacentral:sRNA from 1 species